rnacentral:lncRNA from 1 species
GCCAACGCCACUCCCCGCUGUCCCAGUGCCACUCGCCGGCCCAGCAGCGCCGCUCGCCCGCCCCGCAGUGCCCCUCGCCCGCGCCCGGCCGCCCCCCGGCCCCGCAGUGCCAGUCCCCGGCGCUGCAGCGGCGCUCCCCGGCCCCCCAGUGCCAGUCGCCCGCCCAGCAGCACCGCUCGCCCGCCCCGGGGCCCUGCCAGUCGCCGGCCCAGCAGCGCCGCUCGCCCGUGCCCACCUCCAGCCCCUCGCCCGCCCAGCAGCGCCGCUCCCCGGCCCCGCCACCCUGCCCCUCCCCGGCCUCGGCGUCCCCCCACCGGCUGCCCGGCGAGAGGAUGGAGCUGGGCUACGCCAAGCCCUCCAGCCGCCACAUCAAGGCCGGCUUCCAGGGCCGCCGCAGCUACUCGGAGGUGAGCAACGUGGCCCUGUACCAGCAGAGCCGCUCGCUCUGGCUGCAGCCCGAAGCCUCGACGCUCCCCAAGCACCGGCCCUACGGCGAGGUGUACCUGGGGGGCACGGGGGCCCCCCUGAGCGCCCGCGAGCCCUUCGAGGAGCACGUGCGCUUCGAGAAGCAGUCGUCGGACGAAGAGGACUGGGCGGUCCCCAGCCCCCCCAGCCCCGAGGUGGGGGCUGUCCGCUGCGCCUCCUUCUGCGCCGGCUUCCCCAUCCCCGACACCGCCGCGCACCGGGCAGCUGCCGCCUAUGCCAGGACCGAGCACGCCCAGUCCUGGCCCUCGAUCAACCUGCUGAUGGAGACGGUGGACUCGGAAAUCCGGAGCUGCCCGCUGUGCCAGCUGGCCUUCCCCAUCGGCUACCCGGACGAUGCUUUGAUAAAGCACAUUGACUCGCACCUGGAGAACAGCAAGAUCUGAGCCCCCCCGCCCGCGCCGCCCCCCCCCGGCCGCGGGCUGCCCCCUCCCCGGACUUUGGAUGCUGCAUGAGAACACGAGGAGUGACACGGCUCCGAAAUACCUCCAAGGAUUCAGUAGCUGCGGAGGGACUGACCCCACAGGAGCCCCAGGCCCCUCCUGGCCUCGCGUGUAGGGAGGAUUUGAGGGACCGGGUCCUGGAUCUGGCCCCCAGACAGCAGGUGAAGGGAAGGGGCUGCCCCUUCGGGGGCUCACUGGGUCAGAAUUGGUUGGGGGUGGGAGGCUGCUUGUUCUCGGUCCCCCACCUCUUCCCACCAGUUCAAGCAUCUUUCCAGUCUUUUACAUUAAAAGCAUCCCCCCCCCGCCCCCAUUUCUCCCUUCUCCCCACAACGAUGCUGCUGAGAAUCAAACCCCACGGCCCACGGCACAGCAUGGACAUCCCGCACCACUGCGCUGAGCUCUGCGGCCGCCGGCACCCCUGGGCCCUGCGGGGCCGUGUGGCCACCCCCCCGGCCCCGCAGCCCCCGGCCCCCACCCGCACCCCCCACGUUCGAUCUACCUCAAAGCCGCCGAGAGGCCCCCGACGUCGGGAGGGGGGGUCUGCGGCACCGUCCCCCCGUGCUCCGCGCUGCAUGCCCCCCCUGUGCCACGGCGCGCACAUCCACGCGCACCACCCGAGGGCUCAGCUGGGGUCCGGCCCCUGCUCCCUCAGGGUCCCCACGCAGGGGGACCCGCGCUCUGUGCAACGCCGCUGAGUCCAAUAAAACCCUUCCCCAGUGCCCA